AUGGAAAUCGUGACCCGCGCUUCUCAGCAUCCCGUAGCAGCGGAGGGCAGAAACCCACGCGGGACGGGCAGCAUCCCACACCGCCGACAUCCUUCUUCGCGUGGAUCCCACGAGGGGCCACGAACCAAGGACAGAUCCACCCUGUCCCUUCCCGGGGCCGCACCUGGCAGUGCCACGCCGAGCCGGGGCCUCACUCCCCCCCAGCCACGCCUGUCUCUCCUCUCAGUGGCGGGAUGCUACAGCGGGACUGUUCUGAGCGAGCGCCGCGCGGGGCGGAGGAGCCAGGGAGGGAAAGCCGGAGCGGCGGACAGGCGCUACACCCCGUGUCUGUCCCGAACACACACUCUGGGGGGCAGGCCGGAUAGAUCGGAUGCCGGCUUGAUCGACUUCCCUUCGCACGGUGCCGGCGGGAUCGCGCCCGGAUUCAGCUCAGGGGAAGGCAAGAGCGUGGUUCAUACAUUCCCGGCCGCAGCCAUGAGCAGGGUGGCAUCACCCCGUCACUGCUCAGGGCUGGAUGUGUUUGAGCACCGAGCUGAGGACUAGGACAGAGCCCACAGGCCACGCUGAGGCCAGUGACAGAGUGCCAG
rnacentral:lncRNA from 1 species